ensembl:lncRNA
AUGUAUGUAGAAAAAGAAAAAUAUUUAAAAAAACAAAGCAAUGAACAUAAUCGUUCUAAAAAUAACGUAAAAAAAGAUGAUGUAAAGAACGAUGACAAUUAUCAGAUUGUAACAUAUAAUGCAAAAAAAAUGAAUAGUGAAAAAAAUAAAAAAGAGUUAAUAAUUGAAAGCAUUUUAUCUGAUUCAUAUUUAAAAUCUGAUUUAAAACCUACCAAACUAAAUAAAAAAAAAAGUCUAAAAAUAAAAGAACAAAAAAGUAUAUUAAUAAAUGAAAAAAUAAGUCAGUACAAAAAUAAUGAACCAAAUAAAUAUGUAAAAAUAAAAACAGAAAAAAAUUUAUCAUUAUUAAAGUUAAAAAAUGUAAACAAAAAUAAAACAUCCAAAACUAAACCAGUAGAAUUGAACCAAUUACAAAAUAAAAAUAGUUUAAAACGAUUAGAUCAAAUAAAAAUGUUAAAUCAUAAAUAUUAUAUGGUUGAUGAAUAUAGAUGUGCAUCAGGUUUUGUAAAUUUUUUAAUAGAAUAUAUCCAGACGGACGAAACCGAGAAAUUAAAUGAAACUGAGGAAAAAAAUAAAACUGAAAAAACGAGCGAGUCCAAAAAAAGGGAACAAAAAAAAAAACGCUUUGACGAUUUAUUAAAAUUUGUCUUAAAAAAUGUAGAAAUUUAUAACGUAAAAACAAUAGAUUUUAUAGAAGCUUUUUUAAUUCUAGAAACAAUAAAUAUUGAUAUUAUUAGAGCACAUCCAAUUAAAGAAUGGGUACUUAUUACAUUUCAUUUUUUAAAAGGAAAUACUAAUGAGCAUAACUUAAAAAAUAUUAUAAAACUCUUGAAACUAGACAAUGUAACUAUCAGUAUUGUAACAGCAGUAUUUUAUAUAAACAAAAAAAAAGUCAAACUAACAGAAAAAAAUAUUGAUCAAGUUAUAACAAUAUUACAUGAUGUUACCAGAAGAAGGUCAAAAAGAAUUCAAGUAGCCAAUAAUUUGAAUCAUGAAAGUAUAUCAAAAGAGUCACAACAAAAGGAUGAGUUAUUAGGUUCGUGUUGGCAACCAGUUAUGGUAAAUAUGGAAACAAAAUAA